ensembl:lncRNA
UCAUCUCCUUCUGUGCAGUUAUUGCCAGCUCCACCCAGGAAGUGAGACAAUUAGUCUGGCAUUCUGGCUGAAGGUAUGAUGUAGAAAGGAAGUGAUCUCAUUAGUGUGGAGCUGAAUAGUCAGGGCAUGACUUUUCCCUAUUGGGGGAGUGGCAGAAUGUUUAUACGUUACGUAAAUGUCUAAGUGAAUGUGUACGUGUGUGUUUACUGGGCUAAUUAAGAAGGCCGGAAUGUUCUUGCUAUUAAUGGCAGGCCAUGAGAAAAUUCUAGCUUACCCCUCCAAUACAACCACAGGAGAACUAAAACAGACAGCAAACAGCGUACUCUGGUGGUGCCAACAGCUAUUGGUUCAACUCCACAACCAAAUCUUGCAUCAGAUUCACCUACUUUCACAUACACAACAGAGGUAACAUCUCCUCAAGAUGCUGUUUCAACGUCAGAGCCUGCUCCUGAGGUUACAGAAGCAGCUGCCACGACAGAAGAAGUGCCAAUGGUUUCCACAACAGCACCAGUGAUACAGUCAGAAGCCCCAUUCGAAACAACAGCCCUAACAGAUACAACACAAUCAACAGAAGCUGUACCUAUAGAGACAACCAGCCCUGAAGCCACUACUGUCUUUGCAGAAGCAGAAAUGCCUGAGAAAGUUGAAGACAUAGAAUCAAAGACUGCAGAUGAAGAGGUGGAGGAUGAAGGUAUGGGCACAGGACAGUUGGUGGGGAUCGUAAUCGGUGCAUUGAUCACAGUGAUUGUUGUCAUUGCUGUAAUCAUCUUGUUGGUCAGAAGAAUGGGCCAAUACUCCCCCUGAAAAGAAAGGCACGACAGGAAGAGAAAAAGAAGAAAUCCGGGAAGUUCUGAACUAUUGUUCUGAUGUUAAAAACAAUCCAAGCAGCACUCUCACCAUCCAUCCAGGACUGUACGGGGAGCAGGAGAGUGUCCCAUCCCCUUUCCCAUUGAAAAAGAUGCCCUCCCACAAAAACACCUUCCCAGUGCCCACAAGUUAUUUUAUUUAGCCUGAAAAACCUUAUUUAUCCCAAUAGUGGGAGGCCACAGGAAGUUACAGUAUCUUUUUUUAAUGCAUAUUAAUGUAACAGGAGAUUAAUGAAUGUUCAAUUUGUAAAGGGCCUAAUAAACAAAAACAAACAAACAGCUGCCCAUGCAAGCAAAAGCUUGUAUGUUUUUAUAUCAUACAGAAAAAAAAACUAAUCCAAAAUCAUUAUUCUUUUCCCAUUCUACAGAUGUGUCCAUUUGGACUAUGACGCAUUAUGAACAGUCUUUGAACUGUCAUAAGCAGAUGCUGAGGACACAUUCUGUUCUCAAGAUGUGUAACCGGCUUUAACUAAUAAAUAUUUUUUAAAUUAUUAGUUAAGGGGAGCAGCACACAAUAAGUGCUUGAGAUUUACUCAUUUGAAAGUGCACUAGUACAGAGUGACUUGACUGUGUUGUUCUUAACUGUCACCCAUUCCAAAAGUGACAUCAUUUCCUCUGGAACGCAUCAUUUAUUGUGUGUUCCAAUCCGCUUAGCUCCAGCGCACAGCUGCUAUUGGCAUGUAUCUCUAAAAUCCUGAUGUUCCUCAGCCUGGACUACAUCAUUUUAACAGCAUACUACAGACAUUUUGCAUGGUAUAGUUGAGUUGUUUGCAUUUCUUUUUGUCAGUGUUGAGGUUUGUGUUUCUUUCUGAUGUUCGAGAGCAUUGCUAUCCUGGGCUUUGCUUUAAGAGAUCAGUAUUAGGUGCACUGAAUGAUGAAGAAUAAAUGUUUAGUAUUGACAAGACACUGCAGUUGUUUGCAACGAUAUUUUGUGUUUCUUGCUUGCCAGAUUCCUCUUUAUUUCUCGUUACUCCAUGAUCUCAUUUUGCCAUUUGAUGUCAGAAUCCAGUUAAAGCCAAGAGUUUGACUUUGUGUUUUGGGGUUUUGUUUUACUUAUUGUUCAAUCAAUUUCAAUAAAAAAGUUCCAAAGUAUGUUACGCUGCCAUAUUGUGUUGUUGUGGAUCCCAGAUAACAUUGUCUGUUUAUCUGUGUUUACUUUUCAGCCCCUUUUACUCAGCAUUCCAGCUUUACACACACAUUUACGCCCAUGCACUGUCUCUUUCUCACACAAACACACACCCACACAUUCCCUUUCUCUGUCUCUCUAAUCCAAU